rnacentral:rRNA from 1 species
AUUGAACGCUGGCGGCAGGCCUAACACAUGCAAGUCGAGCGAGCGGCGGACGGGUGAGUAAUGUCUGGGAAACUGCCUGAUGGAGGGGGAUAACUACUGGAAAAGGUAGCUAAUACCCCAUACCAUCAGAUGUGCCCAGUUGGGAUUAGCUAGUAGGUGGGGUAACGGCUCACCUAGGCGACGAUCCCUAGCUGGUCUGAGAGGAUGACCAGCCACACUGGAACUGAGACACGGUCCAGACUCCUACGGGAGGCAGCAGUGGGGAAUAUUGCACAAUGGGCGAAAGCCUGAUGCAGCCAUGCCGCGUGUGUGAAGAAGGCCUUCGGGUUGUAAAACACUUUCAGCGGGGAGGCGGUACCUGCAGAAGAAGCACCGGCUAACUCCGUGCCAGCAGCCGCGGUAAUUC